rnacentral:lncRNA from 1 species
CCCUUCCUGCGCCGCUGCCUACCCGGGAGGGAACGAGGCCCGGCGCAAAGUUUGGUGUAAGAGGGGAAGGAGUUUUUCCAGAGGGGCUUCGGCAAUCCGGGCGGACCUGGGAGGGCGGUUUGCUUUUCUUUGGAGCGCGAGACAGGCCUCCCAUCCGGAGCCCCAGCUCGCUGGGGGCUCACUCGGCUGGGAUUGGCCUGAUUCCCCUCCCCUGCCUGCCCUCCACCCCCAGGAUUGUGAAUUCGCCUCCCAGCUUUUCCUCCUCGCACCAACUCUGGUACCCAGGUGUCUGCCGGGGACCUUCCUUCCCUGAGCCUGGCCGUGCCCGGCGCUCAAACUUGGCCCCAACUCUUUGUCCGUCUCUCGGGCGCCCGUGCGGGGAAGGGACCGGGAAGGGAGGGAUGCAGUGGGGUGUCCGGAUCGGGGCUGCGGGCUGGGCGCCGCCCGGCCAUGCGCCUGCCCAGAAGGCUGGGCAUCCGUGGAGAGGGAAAGCCCAUUUUAUCCCUCUCUUUACAACGAGGUAAAAUAAGUUGUUUAGAGGCCAUUCUUCACGGAGACCGGCUGCCCGCUGGCGUCGCGUGCCCUUGGACAGAGCGAGCGCCUAUGCGAGAUAACUCCGGGGAAGCUCAAAGUCAGGUCAGCCGGGCUCAGCCUUCCGGCUCCUGACUGGCCGGAGUUUGGCCUUUGAGACUCAUAUUGCGCGCUCGCUCUCUCUCUCUCUUACACACACACACACAAACACACACACACUCACACUCACCCGUCCCCUUACGAAAUCUGACCUCUGUUUAUCAGGGUCAGGCGCGCCCUUUGCACUUUUACGUUUCCUUUAAUUAUUUCGGACUUGAUCGUGGCAGGGAGCAAGGGGGAAAAACAAUACCCCAGCCCUCACCAGCUACCCUCGAAGGGUUAAAUUUUAAACCGCGGUUUCUGGAACUAGUCCGGAAACGCAGAGUGGGGGGUGGGGUGGGGGAGGCUGCUCCCCCCACCCCCAGUUGCAAAUGCUAAUAAGUAGUUCAAAUUUCUAGAUUGAUUCUCUAAAAGUUUAUGCAAAAAAGAAAUAAAAAAGAAAAAGAAAAAAGAAGGAAACCAACAACUAACUCUGUUUCUAAGAUUUUAAAGCGAUAGGCAAGUCGAAGAAGCAGAGAUUUAUUUGGAGAGAAAGCUCCUGAAACCGACCCAGCCUUUGGAAGACCAGCCCGUCUGCUUAGAAGUUGGGACUGUUGAUUCCUUCAAUUAAUGAAAUGCAUUUGGUGUUUUUAAUCGUAUUUAUUUUACUUUAUGAGAAGGGGGAGACGCUAGGAGGGUGCAUUAAAAAAAAAAAAAAAUUCUGAAAAGCCUGCAAAAGGAUCGAAGAGUGGAAACUAUUGUUGGAGCGAGUUGGUUUUUACCUCAACAGCGCCACCUUUCGGCAAAGGUUUCUUCCUUGGAAAACAAUAUACAUCACUUAAUGAAAUCUUUGUUUGUUUUGCACAAGAGAUGUAAAAAAUCCAGAUGUUUUCUUCAGUGAGAAUUCCUGGGAAGGUGUACCAGCCUUCUUCUCUUUCUUCACCUGACAAAGACACCCAACACGGCCUCUCAGACCGGAGGUGUUUAAUAUAUAGUUUUGACACGCAUGAACAUGGGAAUGAAAGGGCUCCUUUUGGUUUUAGACAAUAGACAGAGCUAUAAAAUGAUGAUGGAGCCUGUUUUCCCCACUCUUGUCAUUUUAAGUCAAUAGAUUUCCUGGGUUUCUUCCCCCGCCCCCCCACUUUGCCUUUUCAGGGGAUAGGCAUCUCCUUAGAUUUUUGUUUUUCUUCACUUAGGGUCAGCUUUAUGAUUCGUUCUUCUGCUGUCAUCCUUUUUCAUCCUAUUCACAGCCUGUACCGGUGAGGGAAUUUGUCUCAAAAGCAUUCAGCCCUUCAAAGAUUUUUAUUGUGGUGAACUCAGAACUGAUAAACAGAAAAACAGAAACAGAAAAAGGGAACUGAUAUGGGGGCGAUCUUGAUGCGGGUUGUGUCUCUCAUGCAUGAUAACUCAGAGGACAGGCUCCUCGGUAGUGCGGUAGUGCUAACUCUGUGAAGUUUCUUCACCCUCCUUCCUAGCCCUGGAGGCGGGGUGAUUCAUAGCUCCUGUUCCAAAGGCAUUCAGCAGCCAUUCGACCUGGGAAAGAAACAGAGUUUUAGAAAAUACAGGCCAAAUGUAGAGACGCCUGUGAUUACCAGGAUGAGUAUGUCAGUGCAGGUGGCUUCUGAAUUUCUGUUUCUGAGUUUGUUUGGCUGAUGCCUAAGGAAAGGGGUCCCUUACAGCCCUGUUUUAUACCUUAGUUCUUGGUGGCAACGUGGGUGUUGCUGAUCUCUCUGAUGUGUUUUUCUGUGCACUGAAAACACCAGACAUGCUCCGUGACAUCCUCGGAGCAUCUCCCAUCAUAAUGGAGUGUUCCUAACCUGACAAAGAAUAGCAUAUUACCUCCCCAUCUACUCAAAAUAAAAUUAUAGUAAAAUUUA